rnacentral:piRNA from 1 species
AGCCAAGAAUAAGUGCCAUUAUCACAUAAU